UACGUAGGGAGCAAGCGUUGUCCGGAAUCAUUGGGCGUAAAGCGCGCGUAGGCGGCCCUGUAAGUCCGUUGUGAAAGUCAAAGGCUCAACCUUUGAAAGCCGAUGGAUACUGCAGGGCUAGAGUCCGGAAGAGGCGAGUGGAAUUCCUGGUGUAGCGGUGGAAUGCGCAGAUAUCAGGAGGAACACCAAUAGCGAAGGCAGCCCGCUGGGACGGUACUGACGCUAAGGCGCGAAAGCGUGGGGAGCGAACAGG
rnacentral:rRNA from 1 species